rnacentral:rRNA from 1 species
UACGUAGGGGGCUAGCGUUGUCCGGAAUCAUUGGGCGGAAAGCGCGCGUAGGCGGCCCGGUAAGUCCGCUGUAAAAGUCAAAGGCUCAACCUUUGAAUGUCAGUGGAUACUGCCGGGCUAGAGUCCGGAAGAGGAGAGUGGAAUUCCUGGUGUAGCGGUGAAAUGCGUAGAUAUCGGAAGGAACACCAGUGGCGAAAGCGGCUUCCUGGACCAGUACUGACGUUCAUGUGCGAAAGCGUGGGGAGCAAACAGG